AUGGCUUCAGUGCCUUGAGGUACUACUGUUCUUUUGAUUCAAUUUUUGUGUUAUGUUACAUUAUGGGUGUAAUCAAUUCUCACUUCUUUGUUGAAUUUGUUUUUUUAGGUGUUAAAUUAUAUAUGGGUUUGAUCUGGUUUGGUUAAUUGUUUCUAGUUAAAUAAGGGUUUUUGGUGAAGUUUUCAAGAUUCUUGUUUGAAAGAGUAAAAUUUUGUUCAUAUGGUCAUCAAUUUGUAGUGUGUGUUAAGCCAUUGUAAUUGAUCCAUGUUCAGUCACAAUACAUUUAGGUCAUGUUUGGCAUGUAAUCAAAGAUGUAAUGUAUUACAUUGCAUAGCAUAGUAUGUAAUUGCAUACAAAAAUGGAUUAUUUGUUUUUGUUUGGAUUUUUUUAUUUAUUAUCGAUACAACCACCGUUACCCGGCCUUCUACUAUCAACACUACCCCACCAUUACCACCACCGUCACCAUCCUAUUGCUACCAUCCCUGCCACUACCACCACCAUCACCUCACCACUACUAUCACUAUUUAGCCACUGUCAUCUCUAUCCCACCUGGUCACUACCACCACUAUUACCUCACCUUGCCACCACCACCAUUUAAUCACUGUUGUCACAACCGUCACUACUUAGCCACCACUACUAAUUAUUACAACCACUAUCACUUAUCAUUAAUGCUAUAAAUAAAAAAAAAUUAAAAUAA
rnacentral:misc_RNA from 1 species